rnacentral:rRNA from 1 species
GACGAACGCUGGCGGCGUGCUUAACACAUGCAAGUCGAACGGAAAGGCCCUGCUUGCCGGGUACUCGAGUGGCGAACGGGUGAGUAACACGUGGGUGAUCUGCCCUGCACUUCGGGAUAAGCUUGGGAAACUGGGUCUAAUACCGGAUAGGACCGCACUUUAGUGUGUGUGGUGGAAAGUUUUUUCGGUGUAGGAUGAGCUCGCGGCCUAUCAGCUUGUUGGUGGGGUAAUGGCCUACCAAGGCGGCGACGGGUAGCCGGCCUGAGAGGGUGUACGGCCACAUUGGGACUGAGAUACGGCCCAGACUCCUACGGGAGGCAGCAGUGGGGAAUAUUGCACAAUGGGCGCAAGCCUGAUGCAGCGACGCCGCGUGGGGGAUGAAGGCCUUCGGGUUGUAAACUCCUUUCGCUAGGGACGAAGCUUUUUGUGACGGUACCUAGAGAAGAAGCACCGGCUAACUACGUG